UACGUAGGGGGCUAGCGUUGUCCGGAUUUAUUGGGCGUAAAGAGCGCGUAGGCGGCCGAGUAAGUCCGACGUGAAAUCUGGAGGCUUAACCUCCAGCGGUCGUUGGAAACUACUCGGCUAGAGUCCGGAAGAGGAGAGUGGAAUUCCUGGUGUAGCGGUGAAAUGCGCAGAUAUCAGGAAGAACACCGAUGGCGAAAGCAGCUCUCUGGGACGGUACUGACGCUGAGGAGCGAAAGCGUGGGGAGCAAACAGG
rnacentral:rRNA from 1 species